GCCCGGAAGCGGGGGUGCCCGGCGGGAUGCGGGCUGAGACAUACCCUUCGAACCUGAUCCGGUUGAUACCGGCGUAGGGAAGCUUCGUGGUGCCGGCC
rnacentral:ncRNA from 2 species